UACGUAGGGUGCAAGCGUUGUCCGGAAUUAUUGGGCGUAAAGAGCUCGUAGGCGGUUCGUCGCGUCGGCUGUGAAAACCCGAGGCUCAACCUCGGGCCUGCAGUCGAUACGGGCGGACUGGAGUUCGGCAGGGGAGACUGGAAUUCCUGGUGUAGCGGUGAAAUGCGCAGAUAUCAGGAGGAACACCGGUGGCGAAGGCAGGUCUCUGGGCCACUACUGACGCUGAGAAGCGAAAGCAUGGGUAGCAAACAGG
rnacentral:rRNA from 1 species